rnacentral:rRNA from 1 species
UACCUCAGUAACGGCGAGUGAAGCGGUAACAGCUCAAAUUUGAAAUCUGGGUCUUUCAGGCUCCGAGUUGUAAUUUGUAGAAGAUGCUUUGGGUGCGGCCCCGGUCUAAGUUCCUUGGAACAGGACGUCAUAGAGGGUGAGAAUCCCGUAUGUGAUCGGUGGCUUGCGCCCGUGUAAAGCUCUUUCGACGAGUCGGGUUGUUUGGGAAUGCAGCUCUAAAUGGGUGGUAAAUUUCAUCUAAAGCUAAAUAUUGGCCAGAGACCGAUAGCGCACAAGUAGAGUGAUCGAAAGAUGAAAAGCACUUUGGAAAGAGAGUUAAACAGUACGUGAAAUUGUUGAAAGGGAAGCGCUUGCAACCAGACUUGCGCGGGGUUGAUCAUCCGGGGUUCUCCCCGGUGCACUCGGCCUCGCUCAGGCCAGCAUCGGUUUCGGUGGUUGGAUAAAGGCCUUGGGAAUGUGACUCCUUUCGGGGAGUGUUAUAGCCCUCGGUGCAAUGCAGCCUACCGGGACCGAGGACCGCGCUUCGGCUAGGAUGCUGGCGUAAUGGUUGUAAGCGACCCGUCUUGAAACACGGACCAAGGAGUCUAACAUCUAUGCGAGUGUUUGGGUGUCAAACCCAUACGCGUAAUGAAAGUGAACGGAGGUGAGAACCCUUAAGGGUGCAUCAUCGACCGAUCCUGAUGUCUUCGGAUGGAUUUGAGUAAGAGCAUAGCUGUUGGGACCCGAAAGAUGGUGAACUAUGCCUGAAUAGGGUGAAGCCAGAGGAAACUCUGGUGGAGGCUCGCAGCGGUUCUGACGUGCAAAUCGAUCGUCAAAUUUGGGUAUAGGGGCGAAAGACUAAUCGAACCAUCUAGUAGCUGGUU